GAUGAACGCUGGCGGCGUGCCUAAUACAUGCAAGCCGAGCGAACGGACGAGAAGCUUGCUUCUCUGAUGUUAGCGACGGACGGGUGAGUAACACGUGGAUAACCUACCUAUAAGACUGGGAUAACUUCGGGAAACCGGAGCUAAUACCGGAUAAUAUUUUGAACCGCAUGGUUCAAAAGUGAAAGACGGUCUUGCUGUCACUUAUAGAUGGAUCCGCGCUGCAUUAGCUAGUUGGUAAGGUAACGGCUUACCAAGGCAACGAUGCAUAGCCGACCUGAGAGGGUGAUCGGCCACACUGGAACUGAGACACGGUCCAGACUCCUACGGGAGGCAGCAGUAGGGAAUCUUCCGCAAUGGGCGAAAGCCUGACGGAGCAACGCCGCGUGAGUGAUGAAGGUCUUCGGAUCGUAAAACUCUGUUAUUAGGGAAGAACAUAUGUGUAAGUAACUGUGCACAUCUUGACGGUACCUAAUCAGAAAGCCACGGCUAACUACGUG
rnacentral:rRNA from 1 species